UACGAAGGGGGCUAGCGUUGUUCGGAAUCACUGGGCGUAAAGGGCGCGUAGGCGGCUUUGUAAGUCGGGGGUGAAAGCCUGUGGCUCAACCACAGAAUUGCCUUCGAUACUGCAUGGCUUGAGACCGGAAGAGGUAAGUGGAACUGCGAGUGUAGAGGUGAAAUUCGUAGAUAUUCGCAAGAACACCAGUGGCGAAGGCGGCUUACUGGUCCGGAUCUGACGCUGAGGAGCGAAAGCGUGGGGAGCAAACAGG
rnacentral:rRNA from 1 species